rnacentral:lncRNA from 1 species
GAUGAGAUCUAUAACUUUUUAGUUUUGAGUUUUUUCAUUGAAGUCGUUAAGAUGCUCAAAAACAUUAAUGGCAUAUUUAGUCCUAAGGGUAUUUGUCUUUUUACACUUGCAGUUUAACACCGUUAGAGUCCAAUCUAACGGCAGUGGCAUGAAAGGCAAAAAAAAAAAAAUUGGAGCUGUAGUGUUGAAAUCUGUUGAACUUUUUUAGUUGCUGGCAAGAAACUGUUAUCUUUUAUAAUGGCUCGGAGGGAAUUUCCUCACG